rnacentral:rRNA from 1 species
CAGUCGCCGCGGUAAUACAGAGGGUGCGAGCGUUAAUCGGAUUUACUGGGCGUAAAGCGUGCGUAGGCGGCUUUUUAAGUCGGAUGUGAAAUCCCUGAGCUUAACUUAGGAAUUGCAUUCGAUACUGGGAAGCUAGAGUAUGGGAGAGAAUGGUAGAAUUCCAGGUGUAGCGGUGAAAUGCGUAGAGAUCUGGAGGAAUACCGAUGGCGAAGGCAGCCAUCUGGCCUAAUACUGACGCUGAGGUACGAAAGCAUGGGGAGCAAACAGGAUUAGAUACCCCUGUAGUCCCUGUCUCUUAUAC